rnacentral:rRNA from 1 species
UACGUAGGUGGCAAGCGUUGUUCGGAAUUAUUGGGCGUAAAGGGCGCGUAGGCGGUUUGUUAAGUCGGUCGUGAAAGCCCGGGGCUCAACCCCGGAGGGUCGACCGAUACUGGCAGACUAGAGUACAGAAGAGGAGAGUGGAAUUCCUGGUGUAGCGGUGAAAUGCGCAGAUAUCAGGAAGAACACCAGCGGCGAAGGCGGCGCUCUGGGCCGGAACUGACGCUGAGGAGCGAAAGCGUGGGUAGCAAACAGG